GGCCGCGGGAAUUCGAUUGGAUCGCCCUUAGAGUUUGAUCAUGGCUCAGAAUGAACGCUGGCGGCGUGCCUAACACAUGCAAGUCGUACGAGAAAGGGGCUUCGGCCCUGAGUAGAGUGGCGCACGGGUGAGUAACGCGUGGGUAAUCUACCCUUGGAUUUGGGAUAACUCUGCGAAAGUGGAGCUAAUACCGGAUAGUCUGGCUUUAAAUAAGAAGUCGGUAAAGGAUGCCUCUGCAUAUGCAUUCGUCCGAGGAUGAGCCCGCGUCUCAUUAGCUAGUUGGUAGGGUAAUGGCCUACCAAGGCAACGAUGAGUAGCUGGUCUGAGAGGAUGAUCAGCCACACUGGAACUGAAACACGGUCCAGACUCCUACGGGAGGCAGCAGUGGGGAAUAUUGCGCAAUGGGCGAAAGCCUGACGCAGCAACGCCGUGUGAGGGAUGAAGGCUUUCGGGUCGUAAACCUCUGUCGGAAGGGAAGAACGGGCAUUGGUCUAAUAGGCCUUUGUUUUGACGGUACCUUUAGAGGAAGCACCGGCUAACUCCGUGCCAGCAGCCGCGGUAAUACGGAGGGUGCAAGCGUUAUUCGGAAUUACUGGGCGUAAAGCGCACGUAGGCGGCCUUGUAAGUCAGGGGUGAAAUCCCACGGCUCAACCGUGGAACUGCCUUUGAAACUGCAGGGCUUGAAUCCUGGAGAGGGUGGCGGAAUUCCUGGUGUAGGAGUGAAAUCCGUAGAUAUCAGGAGGAACACCGGUGGCGAAGGCGGCCACCUG
rnacentral:rRNA from 1 species